CCCACGCCAGGCCCGCGCCGCACCCCGCCUCUCCCAGGAACACGGCAACGCCGGGCCGGGCCGGGCCGGGCCCCGCCGCGCCGCGCCGCGCCGCUCCGCGGAGCCGCCCGGAGCGCCCCUACCUGUGCCGGGCUCACAUCCUCGGGCCGAGGCCAGCGCUGCCCCCCCGGCGCCGCUCCGGCUACGGCCCCCGCCCGAAGUUUGCCUGCCUUGCGCGGGGCUGAAGGACUGUUGACCCUACAGAAGUUUUCGAAUCAAAUUCUCCCUGCAGACUGACUUGAGUGAAUGACCUCCAAACUUGGCCUACUGGGAUGGAGAGAGAUCCUAACACCGAUAUAUGGAGGAGGUCACUGGGGAUUUGUGCUAAUAGGCCCAUCUGUAAACCGGCAAACUGGAAUUCAACGCAUGUCGUGUUUGGCCAUCCCAUCUGCAUGGUGACAGGUACUGAUGGCAAAUCAUCCUGGUCCUUUCACUAGUUCAGCUUCGGCAAAGUAGGUGUCAGGAGCCUGGUUAUGGAGCCGUGGGGCCGUUUAUCUGAAACUCUGACACUUGGCCUUUGCUGGAGGUCGAUGUGGGACUUAGCAAGCAUUGACCUGCAGGGGAAGAGUGUGUUUUGCAUACUGAGUCAUGUCUUGAAAAGGCAUGAGGUAUCAAAUGCACUCCACUCCAGCCCUGCUUCUUCCAUCUGUUGCAAAAGAUACGGGAAGCUAACCUUGGGCAUUUCAAGACAGCCAGAACUUCUAGCUAAGGUACCAACUUUGGUGGUAAAAUCUUGACUUAAGAUCUCAUUAUGGUCUUUCCAAUUGAGUAAGAAUAGGCAUGCGAACUGUUGUAGGAAUCUGGAUCUAAACUUUACUGAGUGUUAACAGGGCUCUGUUCAUUGCUGAUAGAUUAAGAGCUGAAGAUUCACAUCUGAUAAUUGUGCAUGGUGAGAAAGCAAAAGAGGCUGAGAUGAAACUGUAGCUCAUGACCCCAGAGAAGCUGCAGAAGGUAACAAGAGUAGUGUGAGCUUUGGUGGCAGGUAUUUAUUGUGAGAAAGCUUUUAGCUGGAAAGGUUGUUUUUGAAAAAAAAAUCAAAACUAUUUUGCAAAGACUGAACACUUCCAUUUUUAUUCAAAGAUUAAUUUCAUAAUGUUCAUAUUUUUGUUCAUUAUGGUUAAAUGUUAUUUCUUAAAUGUAACUAAAUUACAGAAGUAUGUAGAGUUAAAAUGAGAAUGAAAUAAAAAUAUUUUGAUCCAAAGCUAUUU
ensembl:lncRNA